UACGUAGGUGGCGAGCGUUGUCCGGAUUUACUGGGCGUAAAGGGAGCGUAGGCGGACUUUUAAGUGAGAUGUGAAAUACCCGGGCUCAACUUGGGUGCUGCAUUUCAAACUGGAAGUCUAGAGUGCAGGAGAGGAGAAUGGAAUUCUUAGUGUAGCGGUGAAAUGCGUAGAGAUUAGGAAGAACACCAGUGGCGAAGGCGAUUCUCUGGACUGUAACUGACGCUGAGGCUCGAAAGCGUGGGGAGCAAACAGGAUUAGAUACCCGGGUAGU
rnacentral:rRNA from 1 species